AUUGAACGCUGGCGGCAGGCUUAACACAUGCAAGUCGAGCGGGGUGAUGGUGCUUGCACUAUCACUUAGCGGCGGACGGGUGAGUAAUGCUUAGGAAUCUGCCUAUUAGUGGGGGACAACAUCUCGAAAGGGAUGCUAAUACCGCAUACGUCCUACGGGAGAAAGCAGGGGAUCACUUGUGACCUUGCGCUAAUAGAUGAGCCUAAGUCGGAUUAGCUAGUUGGUGGGGUAAAGGCCUACCAAGGCGACGAUCUGUAGCGGGUCUGAGAGGAUGAUCCGCCACACUGGGACGGAGACACGGCCCAGAAUCCUACGGGAGGCAGCAGUGGGGAAUAUUGGACAAUGGGGGGAACCCUGAUCCAGCCAUGCCGCGUGUGUGAAGAAGGCCUUAUGGUUGUAAAGCACUUUAAGCGAGGAGGAGGCUCUUUUGGUUAAUACCCAAGAUGAGUGGACGUUACUCCCAGAAUAAGCACCGGCUAACUCUGUGCCAGCAGCCGCCGUAA
rnacentral:rRNA from 1 species